UACAGAGGUCUCAAGCGUUGUUCGGAUUCAUUGGGCGUAAAGGGUGCGUAGGCGGCGCGGUAAGUCGGGUGUGAAAUCUCGGGGCUUAACUCCGAAACUGCAUUCGAUACUGCCGUGCUUGAGGACUGGAGAGGAGACUGGAAUUUACGGUGUAGCGGUGAAAUGCGUAGAUAUCGUAAGGAAGACCAGUGGCGAAGGCGGUUCUCUGGGCCUUACCUGACGCUGAGGAGCGAAAGCGUGGGGAGCGAACAGG
rnacentral:rRNA from 1 species